rnacentral:rRNA from 1 species
GAUGAACGCUGGCGGCGUGCCUAAUACAUGCAAGUCGAGCGAACUGAUUAGAAGCUUGCUUCUAUGACGUUAGCGGCGGACGGGUGAGUAACACGUGGGCAACCUGCCUGUAAGACUAGGAUGACUUCGGGAAACCGAAGCUAAUACCGGAUAGGAUCUUCUCCUUCAUGGGAGAUGAUUGAAAGAUGGUUUCGGCUAUCACUUACAGAUGGGACCGCGGUGCAUUGGCUAGUUGGUGAGGUAACGGCUCACCAAGGCAACGAUGCAUAGCCGACCUGAGAGGGUGAUCGGCCACACUGGGACUGAGACACGGCCCAGACUCCUACGGGAGGCAGCAGUAGGGAAUCUUCCGCAAUGGACGAAAGUCUGACGGAGCAACGCCGCGUGAGUGAUGAAGGCUUUCGGGUCGUAAAACUCUGUUGUUAGGGAAGAACAAGUACAAGAGUAACUGCUUGUACCUUGACGGUACCUAACCAGAAAGCCAUGGCUAACUACGUGCCAGCCGCCGCGGUAA